ensembl:snRNA U6 U6 spliceosomal RNA
GUGCUCACACUGGCAGCACAGAUGACAUUGAAACAAAACAGAGAAGAUAAGUAUGGCCCUUGAGCAAAGGUAACCUACAAGUUCGUGAAGAGUUCAUUUCUUUU